rnacentral:misc_RNA from 1 species
GAGGAUGAACCAAGAAGUAAAAGGUCUCUGUAUAAGAGACUACAAACUACUGCCGUUCAUCCUCAACUCCAAUACAGUGCAAAUUUCAGCCAAACCUUAACCAGAUUGACAACCACAAAGCUGAGAUGGGGAUGGUUGGAUGAUAUUCACUUUGGCAUUUUACAGAUUUUACCAAUGACAUGAAUUCAACUCCAUUGAAGACUUCUUCAGCUCCCAAAUUGGCUUCGACUACAAUACCUACAGAUAAGGCUCUUCUUCUAUCAUUAAAUCAUGAAUUGAUCAUUUUGAGACUUAUGAUAACCUUUUUCAAUGAUUUAUACUAAUCAUUUAUUGUACUUGAAUUUAGAUUUACUUAUUUAUUUGGAAAGUAUAUAAGGAAAAACAAAAUCACCAUAAGAAAAUUUGAAAAUCUUGAAGAACAUCCAAAUGAGAACUAAAAUUAUUUCCCCUUAGUUUAAUGUGAUUUUUAGGAAGUGGGAUUUGGGGUUAUUUGGUGGAUUCAAAUUUGGAUUGGAAUUUAAUCUAGGAAUUUAAUUAGAUUAGAUUAAUUAUAAAAUACACUAAUCAAUUGUGCUACAUAAUAAAAUGAGAAAAUUAAUUAUAUUUUUAAACAUGGUCGUAAAAAUUUAAGGUAUUUUAGGGCCUAUAUUCUCCUAUGAGUGGAACGGUUACCUCGCGUGUUCCAACGAAAAAGUAAAAAUAAUAAAAACACAAUAUUUUUAUGUGAAAAACACCUGACUCAAAAGAUGUAAAACCAAUGACAUGUAUCUCUACAUGAUGUAACUUCAACUUCACUAAAUCACUGAGCCUUAACAAAACACAGAUUGCAAACUAUAUAACCUACGAAACUAACUCUAAUUCCUUAACCUCAAGUUAUGAAUUAAGAUUACAACUCUUUCAAUACUAGGAACUAAUUCUAAAUCCUAACCUUCAAGUUAUGGAUUUAGAUUACAACUAGUGUAAUAUUACGAACUAACUCUAAAUCCUAAACUUCAAAACGAACCUCCCAAGGCAUGUGUUCCUAAACUUUAAACGUGCGUAAUUAUGCUUUUUAUCUGAUUGCUCAAAAAAAUAUCACAUGUGUAAUCAUGUUUUUUAUCCGAGGAACUAAGAGUUAAACAGAGUUAAAUACAGAGAUCGCUCACGCGAUUCCAUGAUUCCACCUUUUAAGUAUUUGAUUUAACUUGGACGUUAAGUGAUAAUUUGAAAAAUAAAUGCUAAAACUAAUAAUUGUGGUAUUAAUUACAUUAUUGUUUUUAAUCCAACACAUAGUGUAUAAGUUUAUCUCUUAUUGCUCGUAGCAGACAUCCUCGUUUGUUGGAGAACAAACUAUCCUAGGAUAAGUUAUCUUAGAAUAAGUUAAUCCAUAUAUGAGAUAAUUUGUUUUAUCAUUAUGAUAUAAAUGACAAAAUAAAUAGUUUAAGGUAUCUAAUGUAUCCAAGUAUAUGCAAGAUAAAAUAAUUUCGCAUUUUGUACCAUCAACGCCAAAGCUCCACUUUUGCCCUUCCUAAAUAAAUUAAAUUAGAAAAAAAUACAUAAUUACACAACUUAAAUAACAUAAUUUUAGAAAAGAUUUGCUUUUAAAUUAAUUAUAAAAAGUUUCUUUCUCUUUUAAUAUUCGAAUACAUUACUUUAUGUGUAC